AAAAAUCCCGAUGUCGACAGCUUUGUUGUGCACACACAAGGGCUGUAGUUUUCUCUUCACGUAUAUGGAAAUGCAGGGUAUGACUUAACUUAAAUCAUUUUAGUUCGGAUGUGAACACACUUGACCAUUAUGAUUUAAGAGGCAAAAUAUAAGGAAUUACAUGAUGAUGUAAUUAACAAGAGUUAUCUACCUAUUUAUUUAUAUAUAGUUUGUUGUGCUCACACAAGGCUAUAUACAUUUGAAAUGGGAUCCUUAUUCUCACUAUCAAAUCUUUUAUUAGAUAUUGCUGAACUAUAUAAUGAGGGUAAUAUAGUUUGAAGAAAAUAGUGGGAGAUACCGAUUUAAAAU
rnacentral:lncRNA from 1 species